rnacentral:lncRNA from 1 species
AUGUUGGCCCAGUCUUCACCCUCUUUUGCUGAGAAGUGCCUUGAUUUCCUAGUUGACAUGUUCAACGAUGAAAUUGAGGAAGUACGUCUGCAGUCCAUACAUACCAUGAGAAAAAUCUCUAACAACAUCACCCUCCGAGAAGAUCAGCUUGACACUGUCCUGGCUGUGCUAGAGGAUUCAUCCAGAGAUAUUCGAGAGGCUCUUCAUGAACUCUUAUGCUGUACUAAUGUUUCAACCAAAGAAGGGAUUCAUCUUGCAUUGGUGGAGCUGCUGAAAAAUUUAACCAAGUACCCUACUGAUAGGGACUCCAUAUGGAAGUGCUUGAAGUUUCUGGGAAGUCGGCAUCCAACCCUGGUGCUUCCCUUGGUGCCAGAGCUUCUGAGCACCCACCCAUUUUUUGACACAGCUGAACCAGACAUGGAUGAUCCAGCUUAUAUUGCAGUUUUGGUACUUAUUUUCAAUGCUGCUAAAACCUGUCCAACAAUGCCAGCAUUGUUCUCAGAUCACACCUUCAGGCACUAUGCCUACCUCCGAGACAGUCUUUCUCAUCUUGUUCCUGCCUUGAGGUUACCAGGUAGAAAACUGGUGUCAUCAGCUGUUUCUCCCAGCAUCAUACCUCAAGAGGAUCCUUCCCAGCAGUUCCUGCAGCAGAGCCUUGAAAGAGUGUAUAGUCUUCAGCACUUGGACCCUCAGGGAGCCCAGGAGCUGCUGGAAUUCACCAUCAGCUUAUGUAGUCUAGGAAGAUACAGUAGAUGAAGAUAGGAAUACCACGAGUGAGUGAGCCAAAUCCAGUAUAUGCCAUAAGUACCAACUGCUGUUAGCUCCAGUUUACUCACCUGGGGGACUUGGUGACUUGCUGGGUGCAGGGGUGGGAGUGAGGAACUGAGAGAUAAAUGGGUGGUCUGAUACUCUAGUAAUCCAAUAAAAAGUUGAGGGUGUCCUGGGCUCCCCUGGGAGUGCCGUGGGCUUGGGCUGGACAGGUCGUGGGGAGAAUGCUGGGUAGGUGGGUGCAGCUGCAGCCACAGGAGAGCCAGAGUGUGCAGCAUGUGUCCAGCGUGAGCCUCCUGAGCUUCCACCUGGGUCACUUAGUCUUUGUGCCCCUGGGAAGCCUCUAGAAGCCACACAGAGGCCCCUAGCAACUCUCAUGCCCUGGAGGGUCUCACCAGCCACUCCAGUGAUGGGCCCCCCAGUAGCUCUGGGACCCAAGCAGGGAUGAUUCACAAAGUCCCUACCUAGCACAGGCCUUCACAGUUCAACAAGAAAAUCCUACUGUUGACUGGAUUUUUAAAAAUCAGUGGAGGAGAUCACACUAGAAAUGAUAGAUACUGCAAGAAACAAAGCUUGAGUGAAAGCUUGUUACCGUAAUGAAUGGACUCACACAUAUCACUGCUUUGCAGUGAUAGCAUCAGCCAAAAGGGCUGCAGAACAUGAAUCGUUAACAAGUUGAAAUAUGUCAAAGAUGGCUGUGUGGUGUGAAGAAGCUGCAUUAGCUGCACAGGCUAAGCCUAAAUGAUAUUCCGAAUGGCAGAGUGUUCACCUGAAUACCAUCACUGUAAUCAGUAACAAUAAAAGAUAGGGAAAACUGAAUUAUUUUUUAGGUUGAAAUGAUUUUAGCAUGGCAGUUUGUUCUCUUGCCACUGUACAUUGAAUCAUAUACUUGAUAUUUAUUGUGUGCCUGUGAUGUGCCAGUAACAGUACUCUAAACUAGGAGUCCCCAAACUACAGCCUGUGGACCAAAGCUGGCCUGUUGCCUGCUUUUGUAUGUAAGAUCUGAUUGAAGCACACCCACGCUCAUUUGUUUAGGUAUUGUCUAUAGUUGCUUUCAUGCUACAAUCACAGAGUUGAGUAGUUGCCACAGAGACCAUACGGCCUGUAAAACCUAACAUAUUUACUAUUUGACCUUUUACAGAAAAAAUUUGCUGACUCUGCUGUAAGCUCUGGGCAGUCCACAGCUCUGUAAGCGGAGAUUCCAGUCCUUUCUAUACCUCUUGUGAAGCGAUUUCUCUUCUCCCUCAACAAAGUGUUUAGUUUUGGAGGCCACUGAAUGAGGUUGUUGGCCCUGAGCCCAGUAAAAUACAGUCUACUUCCUGACUCAUCCCCACCUAAAUAAACAUUUAGAUUUUGUCCUUGACAGUUUUAUCCUAUUGGCACUAAAGCAAGUGCAGAAGGCACAAAAGCUAGCCAAUCUGGUGAUCAGCUGCAGUGCUGGCUCUUAGAAGGUACUCGCCUUCAUGGUCUGGGUUUCCUGAGAUGAUAGUCUUGCUAAGCAGUGGCCGGCCAGAUCACUGUCCUAAGUUUGGGGCUCUGUGUUUCUAGCUUGAGUGUGUAUUCAGGAGCAUAGGCAGGAUGGUGAAAAAUCUGGAAAGGGAAGCAGAUGGACCAUAGCACUGAGGGCACCUGCGAUGCUUUACAACCAUCAUUGCAGACAUGAAGUAAUUUGCUAAGAAGAGGCAGAAGCAGGAUUUGAGUUCAGCUUUGUCAACUCUAAAAUCCAUAUUCUGUGAUGUGCAGUGAUUUACAGGGGAUUCCUGUAUCACAUGAGAUUAGAUCAGUUGACCCCUGGGAUUCUCCACAACUUACACUUUCUGAGUUGUUAUGGAGUGAAAUGUUAGCCUUUCAUACAGAAGGUUCUCUGAUGAGGACUGGAGCCAUGUAUUUGUUAGUAUGAGUGUAAAACAAAUUUCACUGUCAUACACAGUGCCCUGUUUUGUAAUCCAAACAGCCAUUUAACCUAAUGAAGAUCUCACCUAUGAGCCAGAUGCUGUGGCUUGCACCUGUGGAACUGUUGCGAAGAUUAUUGUAAUGAUAUGUGGCAAAAGCAUUUUGAGAAUAUCAGUUACAUAGAUAAUAGUUGGACAUUUAUGGAUGUUUGCUUUAAAAUUUAAACUAACUGGCCGGGCGCAGUGGCUGACGCCUGUAAUCCCAACACUUUGGGAGGCCAAGGUGGGCGGAUCACGAGCUCAGGAGAUCGAGACCAUCCUGGCUAACACGAUGAAACCCCAUCUCUACUAAAAAUACAAAAAAUUAGCCAGGCGUGGUGGCGGGUGCCUGUAGUCCCAGCUACUCGGGAGGCUGAGGCAGGAGAAUGGUGCGAACCUGGGAGGCAGAACUUGUGCUGAGCAGAGAUCACGCCACUGCACUCUAGCCUGGGCGACAGAGUGAGACUCCAUCUCAAAAAAAAAAAAAAAAAAAAAAUUUAAACUAACUGGCUUAUUUAACAUACUGGACAUGCUCUUGACAUUUUGUAACUAAAUCAAAUUUUAUAAAUGUAAUCAUGUUUAAACUCACUAGCAGGCAGGGUUGAAGGGGAUUGUCUUUUAAGGAAUGCUGCAGUCAUUUGUCUGCUAUUUCUCAGUAUGAAUAGUGACCUCCUGUUUUUCAAAGUUUACAUUUUUGUGUUAAGUCCAUGAAAGUGCUGUUGCUAUACACAGUGUUGUUUCAGGAACCAUACCACCUUAGAAGUGUUCCAUAAUAGAGAAUUGUUCUUUUGGAGUAAAAUAGCUCAUUAUUACCUGAAACAGAAGGGGCUUCAUUUAUCAGAGAUAGAAAGAAAUGUACUACUUUUCUGAUGGGAAUUCUUUUACACACUAACCAUUGAAGAACAUGGGAUUUUUUAGUCGAAUUAUUUAAAAUCCUCUUUUUGCGUUGAAACUUUUAUUGUCUUUUAGGGAGAGCGCCUAUUGUGUAGUAUUGGAACUGGUCUCGUAAUUAAAGAGUAGAAAUACACGUUUGUAAUCUGUCAUCAUCUAGGUGCAGGAAUAAAGAUGGCGUUUUAGAGGUCACCAAGACUUUGUAUUUAUUUUGUAUUUCCUAACAUUCCUUUUUGCUCUACUAAGCUACUAAGAGACAUUAAUUAUAAAUUUGAUUUUUAGAGAUUCUAAGAGAUUGAAAAAAAUAAACUACAUUUGAUUUGCACAUCCAGAAUCUUUUUGACUAUCUUUAAUAGUGAUUUAAAUAAUUAAUUCAGCCUAUUGUGUAAACUUAAAAAGAAUCACUAUAUGUAAAUGUGUUUACACAUGGUGGCAUAGUGGCAUCAUAUAGAUUGCUAAUGUGUGUGUUCCUGGGAGGAACUGUUUUGCUCUGCCUGAUAGCAUCUAAAGAAAAGUGGCCCAGUGUAUCCAGUUUUUUUUUGGAGAUGGAGUCUCCCUCUGUCGUUCAGGCUGGAGUGCAGUGGUGCAAUCUCGGUUCACGGCAACCUCUGCCUCCCAGGUUCAAGCAAUUCUCCUGCCCCAGCAUCCUGAAUAGCUGGGACUACAGGCGCACUCCACCACACCUGGCUAAUUUUUUGUAUUUUAGUAGAGAUGGGGUAUCACCGUGUUGCCCAGGCUGGUCUCGAACUCCUGAGCUCAGGCAAUCCACCCACCUUGGCCUCCUAAAGUGCUAGGAUUACAGGUGUGAGCCACCGCGCCUAGCCGUAUCUAGUUUUAAAUUAGUUUUGGUCUCAUGUGUGUUUGAUGUAAUUAAUAAAUAAAAGAGUUUAAUAGCAAAUAAAUAAAUGAGAUGCAAUAUGAUAUGGUUAAAAAAAUACUUUUGGAGUCAGAGCUGACUCUGUCUAGUUCAUUACCUGUUUUGUUGUUUAUUCUGUGACCUUAGGCAAGCCACUUAAAUUCUGAUCUUUAGUUUCCUGUUCAGUGAAAUAGGAUUAAUUGCAAUUCAUAUUGUGAGGAUUAAGUGAGCUCAAGUAAGGAAACAGCCAGCACAGUACAGUGCACAUAGAAUGUGCUCAGUUUACCUUUCUCAUUAGAGCCCAUAGUCUCCUGAUGGAUGUCUAGACUGAGGCUUCCUGAGAAUUGUGAGCAUAAAGAGAUAAAGAGAGGUAACACUGGGACACAGGAUUUUUCCCAGAGCUAACAAGUUUCCAUUUUUGUUUGUACAGAAGUUCAGAUUUCUUAUGGCUAAUUGUGUUGGAUUGGGUUACAUCUUGUUUUGUGCACUUCAGAACAACUGCUACAAUUCCGGGACAGGGGAAUAAAGUAACAUUUGGAAUCAGUUAGUUAAUGUACAGUCAGUUGGUCUGUAUUCUGUAUAAUUGUCAUAGAAGGAAGAAUCUUCCUGGAGAGGAAACACAAAUGCUUCUGAAGUAGAAUACUUCAGGGCUGUCUCUUGCAAGAGAAAAAUCAGAGAAGUGAAAGGAAGAGACCAUCUGGCCACCAAACUCACACUUCACAGUUGGGCUUAGCUAGUCUAUGGUCUUGGCUUUCAUUGUGCUGGGUUCCCACGCUUUGGGUAGGCCCUCCAGGACCAGUUCAAGCAACCCAAACGAAUAAGAAGUGAUAUAUAUCAUACAUUAAUUCUUCAAUCACUUUGAGAGUAAUUUACUCUUUGCCCCUUUGUAGGCAUCUCCUUCUUGAUGUCAAAGUCCCCAGGAGGCAUCGUUAACUAUCGUAACGUUACCCGCCGAGCAUGAGAUGGGAGGAAGUGGCAUAGUCCAGUGGACGGUUUUUUCCAGGCUACUGUGAAACCUGAUGUGUUAUGCCGGCUCUGAAACAGCUUCCCAAGUGACUCAGACCUUAAG